rnacentral:rRNA from 1 species
UACGUAGGGUGCAAGCGUUGUCCGGAAUUAUUGGGCGUAAAGAGCUCGUAGGCGGUCUGUCACGUCGGACGUGAAAAUCCAGGGCUCAACCCUGGACCUGCGUUCGAUACGGGCAGACUAGAGUUCGGUAGGGGAGACUGGAAUUCCUGGUGUAGCGGUGAAAUGCGCAGAUAUCAGGAGGAACACCGGUGGCGAAGGCGGGUCUCUGGACAGUAACUGACGCUGAGGCGCGAAAGUGUGGGGAUCAAACAGG